rnacentral:rRNA from 1 species
CGAGUCGUACACGAGAGUUUGUAUACCUGGACUCAGGAUGAACGCGUGGCGGCGUGACCUAACUACAUGCAGUACGAGCGACACUUCGGUGGGAAGCGGCGAACGGUGAGUAACACGUAGGUGAUCUACCCAUCAGACGGGGAUAACGAUUGGAAACGAUCGCUAAUACCGGAUAGGACGAAAGUUUAAAGAUGCUCCUGGCAUCACUGAUGGAUGAGCCUGCGGCGCAUUAGCUAGUUGGUGGGGUAAAGGCCUACCAAGGCGACGAUGCGUAGCCGACCUGAGAGGGUGAACGGCCACACUGGGACUGAGACACGGCCCAGACUCCUACGGGAGGCAGCAGUAGGGAAUCUUCGGCAAUGGGCGAAAGCCUGACCGAGCAACGCCGCGUGAAUGAAGAAGGCCCUCGGGUUGUAAAAUUCUGUUAUAAGAGAAGAAAGGUGAUAGGAGGAAAUGACUAUCAAUUGACGGUACCUUAUGAGAAAGCCACGGCUAACUACGUG